AUAACGUGGGUGUCGCAAAAAGGUCAAACAUCAUUUGCGUGUUCCUUUGGGUUUAGUAGCUGGGCAAUACAGAUAUGCUUAGAAAUGCAAGUGCCACGGAUGGAAUGCUUAUACAUUCUUUAUUUACACAAGUUUUGCAUACGACACAACUCAAGUAGCUUGGUCUUUGAGGUGCCGUCCUGCAUAUGCAAUUGGUCGUCAGUUUACCUGCAGAUGUCCAUGCCUCGUGCUCUGCCUAGCAAUUCUCUGCUGUUGUAUGUUUAACUGACGUUUUUGUUUUGCAAUUUUCUACUAUAUAUGUUUGCUAGAUAGUUCUUUCUUUCGUUCUUUUUUUAGGUUUAUGUUUGUCCUCCAUCUAAGCAUAAUUGCCUGUGCAGGUUCUGCUAUAUUGUCCUGCAUCCUGCCAGCCCUCAUCUAAGAGCUAGUUUGGAAACCCUGUUUUCCCAAGAGAUUUUCAUUUUCCCUAACGCCCCGUUUGGAUCACUGGAAUUGAAUUCCAUUCUAAUAAUAGUAAUUUAGACAUAUAUCAAUUAAGCUAAUUCACUUUUAUAUGGAAUGCUUAUACAUUCUUUAUUUACACAAGAUUUGCAUACGACACAACUCAAGUAACUUGGUCUUUGAGGUGCCGUCCUGCAGAUGCAAUUGGUCGUCAGUUUACCUGCAGAUGUCCAUGCCUCGUGCUCUGCCUAGCAAUCUCUGCUGUUGUUUGUUUAACUGACGUUUUUGUUUUGCAAUUUUCUACUAUAUAUGUUUGCUAGAUAGUUCUUUCUUUCGUUCUUUUUUUAGGUUUAUGUUUGUCCUCCAUAUAAGCAUAAUUGCCUGUGCAGGUUCUGCUAUGUUGUCCUGCAUCCUGCCAGCCCUCAUCUAAAUAAAGAGUUUGCCGAGUGUUUUCUUGCCUAGCGGUUUUUUGGGCUUUGCCACGCGGCAAAGCAGCUAUCUCCUGUAGUGUGUAGAUAACAACUGCCACAUGUGCAUGUACAACCUUACACAAGUAUGUACACAAGUGUCAGGCUUUUUCCCAGCGUGUGGCUACAGGUAUACCAAAUGAAGACCUGCACAUGACUUUAUAGCAAAGGGGGAGAAAGCACCUGUACUUCAAAAUUUUCGCCCGGUAAUACACUAAAAAAAGAACAGCUAUGAAUAUUAUCAUGGAGACAUGGAAGUAAAGGCACAAGGACACAAGUGACCUGAUGAAAGCUGGGAGAGGGUAAACAGCAGCGUUGCAGAAAGUAUGGCCACAUUCAACCAACAGCGAUGGACCUGACAGUUUCCACGAGACUAGCAAAUGUUGAAGCAAGGCAGCAGAUCUGCAAGCCACUUCUGUAAUAACUUCUGCCAUUCAAAAUCAAAAAGCAGUGGCUGCAACAAGGAAAGCUCCAUUUCAAUCACGUGGUGCAGACGACAUGUUCCAUAUGCAAGAGCACUGAACUGUUAUCUGCACGGUUUUAACAAAUAGCGCUCCAUUUCAGAUGGAUGCAGGCCACCCAUCUGAAUUAUUAACAUCUUGACAACAUACAAACUGCUACUGGUUUCUUGGAAAGGUUACACAUGCAAAUUCAGUGGUCGCAAACCCAUUUCAGGGAACAAAGUGAAGUGCAAACCAAGGUUUUAGCACAGAACUCAGAUCAUCCAGCUUCAAAAGCACUGUACACACAGAGAGACUUUGUUCUGAGAAGCGAGUACAAUUGACACAGCCAUCUGGGCUCUUAAUACCAUCACACGACAGGAAAACGGUGCAACUUGAUUCUUACAACACCGUGACGAUCUUUGCAGGGGAAGUACUGUCCAGUGGGACAGAAUCAGCCCAUUGCGUACUUCUGGG